AACCGGGUAAAAGUCGUAACAAGGUAUCUGUAGGUGACCUGCAGAUGGAUCAUCG
rnacentral:rRNA from 1 species